rnacentral:lncRNA from 1 species
AAAAGCAUUAGUUUAACAACGUCUGAAGUCUUGAAAGAAAAGCUUUCACUCGAACCUUUAGUGAGUCAGAGAUUAGGUGAGCUCCAGCAUUGAGACCCUUCGAGCGAGAGAAAGGAGAAGACUAUCUUUGAUGUCAAUGGUGGCGCACAAAUGGAAAGAUGCAAGGAGAAGAAGAAGGAGCGUGCAUCAGAGGUAAGAGUAUUAUCAUAACGUCUUGGUUGAAUGAAAAACGAUGAUUGUUUCUGUAUGUAUUAUUAUUGUUGUUGGGAGCACUGGAAUCCCUAAUUAUAUAGGGUUCCAGUGAGUGUUCUUUACAUACUGAAAGUCUUAACAGAAAAGUAAAAGCUUAAAAACAAAAAGCUAAAACUAGAUUACUGUUCUUAUGAACAGUUAUUACAAAAC